rnacentral:rRNA from 1 species
AUUGAACGCUGGCGGCAGGCUUAACACAUGCAAGUCGAGCGGAGUGAUGGUGCUUGCACUAUCACUUAGCGGCGGACGGGUGAGUAAUGCUUAGGAAUCUGCCUAUUAGUGGGGGACAACAUCUCGAAAGGGAUGCUAAUACCGCAUACGUCCUACGGGAAAAAGCAGGGGAUCACUUGUGACCUUGCGCUAAUAGAUGAGCCUAAAUCGGAUUAGCUAGUUGGUGGGGUAAAGGCCUACUAAGGCGACGAUCUGUAGCGGGUCUGAGAGGAUGAUCCGCCACACUGGGACUGAGACACGGCCCAGAUUCCUGCGGGAGGCAGCAGUGGGGAAUAUUGGACAAUGGGGGGAACCCUGAUCCAGCCAUGCCGCGUGUGUGAAGAAGGCCUUAUGGUUGUAAAGCACUUUAAGCGAGGAGGAGGCUCUUUUGGUUAAUACCCAAGAUGAGUGGACGUUACUCGCAGAAUAAGCACCGGCUAACUCUGUGCCAGCCGCCGCGGUAAGAC